GCACGUCACUAUAUCAUAGCUCUAAUUUUUUUUUUAUUUAAAAAAAAACUGCUUUAUUAAUAUAUAUUUAAUAAAUAAAUAAAAAAUCAAAGUUUAAUAUAUACACACAUAUCUAAGAGGCACCUAAAUCUAUUUCCAAAAAAAAGGCGCCUAAACUUUCAGAAAAAUAUACCUAAAUUUUCAAAAAAUAAACAAAUAAAUAAAAAAGAGGCACAUUUAUGCAGCUGUAAUACAUUUCAUUUUUGAAAAUACAGCUGUAAUAUAUUUAUUGUACAUACAAUUGUAAUAAAAAAGCUAACCCUAACUUAUUUCUCUCUCCCCUUAAUUUCUUUUCAAAGCCGUUGCACACAUCCAAGAGACCCAUGGAGGGAUCGACAUAGGCGAGGGUGCAGGCGGUGGACGAUGCAGGCGAGGGUGCUGGCGGUGACGAUGCAGGCGAGGGUGCAGGUCGUUGGUUCGACGGUGCAGGCCAGGGCUGGUCGACGAUGCAAACAUCGGUAUGGCGGAGCGAUCAGCAUAGGUGAGGGCUUUUUGUCAGCGACCAACGACUUCAACAAAGCAUGCAUUUGUUUUUGACGACCUACAACUUUAGAUCGAUGGAAAAUCUGUAUCAAUGGGGCUGAAAAAUGGUUGGGCUCGAGUUAGUCAGGGACGGAGAUCGAAGCUAGAAUCCGUGGGAUUCAAUUAUUUUUUUUCUAACUAUUUUAUUUGAUUCAAAUGUUCAUACCCAUGAUUUCGGAUUUUCAUUGUUAAAAGAUUUGUAUUUUUUUUUAACAUUUAUUAGUUCUUUUUGAUUCAAAUAGUCAUAUGAUUGAAGUUUCUGUAAUUUUUUCUGUUUUGUAUUUGUGUUUUUUCAUUUCGUAUAAAAAUAUUUGUUAAGUA